CCAGCCCAUGACGCUGUGAAUGGAAAACAGAGUGGAAUGCAAACGGAGAGAUGUUCGCCCAUCGGGGAGACAAGAUACGACAACGGAGGAAGAACGUGACGAAUUAAUUGAGAAGUUCAACCAAAGUUGACAAUUAUUCUGGCGGUAUCCUUCCAUACUCCAAGAAGUAGCGCUUCAGACGCAGUGCGGUCACGUGGCAAACAUCUCUGCCGCCCCUCCUCCAGAUGCCCCUUCAACCUGAUGGAUGUCAUCAAUAAUGGACCCCCGUUGUUCACUUCCACCCCGGGACAAAGAGACGGCAGCCCGGGCCCAGCAGAGGUGUGAUAAUUCACAUCCACAUUUAUACUUUUAAAUUUCAUCAAGUAGUUUACCUUGCCAAACACGCCACAGGCUGAGAGGGGAAAGCUGACAAAGAAAUGUGGCUUUGAUAGAAGCCGGCGAAAUCCGGCCUGACUGUCUUCGCUCAGGGUAAAAGCCGGCGAAUGAGGUAAACGCAUCAGUGGCGGGACUUGUCUCAAACGCGGAAACGCUGGAUCUAUGGGCUACGACGUAAUAAAGCACAACAGGCAGGAAGUCACACG